rnacentral:rRNA from 1 species
UACGAACGGUCCAAACGUUAUUCGGAAUCACUGGGCUUAAAGCGUCCGUAGGCGGUCCAGAAAGCAGGGUGUGAAAUCCCACGGCUCAACCGUGGAAUUGCGCUCUGAACUACUGGACUCGAGGGAGAUAGAGGUAAGCGGAACUGAUGGUGGAGCGGUGAAAUGCGUUGAUAUCAUCAGGAACACCGGAGGCGAAGGCGGCUUACUGGGUCUUUUCUGACGCUGAGGGACGAAAGCUAGGGGAGCGAACGGG